rnacentral:rRNA from 1 species
UGAGCUGGCGGCGAGAUUAACACAUGCAAGUCGAGCGGUAACAGGUGUAGCAAUACAUGCUGACGAGCGGCGAACGGGUGAGUAAUGCUUCGGAAUCUUCCUCGUAGUGGGGAAUAACCUGGGGAAACUCGGGCUAAUACCGCAUACGAACUACGGUUGAAAGCGGGGGAUCGCAAGACCUCGCGCUAUGAGAUGAGCCGAAGUCGGAUUAGCUAGUUGGUGGGGUAACGGCCUACCAAGGCGACGAUCCGUAGCUGGUCUGAGAGGACGACCAGCCACACUGGGACUGAGACACGGCCCAGACUCCUACGGGAGGCAGCAGUGGGGAAUAUUGGACAAUGGGGGCAACCCUGAUCCAGCGACGCCGCGUGUGUGAAGAAGGCCUGCGGGUUGUAAAGCACUUUUAGUGGGGAUGAAAAGCCAAGGGUUAACACCCUUUGGUCUUGACCUAACCCAAAGAAAAAGCACCGGCUAACUCUGUGCCGGCAGCCGCGGUAAUACAGAGGGUGCAAGCGUUAAUCGGAAUUACUGGGCGUAAAGCGUGCGUAGUCGGUUAUUUAAGUCGGGUGUGAAAUCCCCGGGCUCAACCUGGGAAUUGCAUUCGAUACUGGAUAGCUAGAGUUCGGCAGAGGGAAGCGGAAUUUCCGGUGUAGCGGUGAAAUGCGUAGAUAUCGGAAGGAACAUCAGUGGCGAAAGCGGCUUCCUGGACCAGAACUGACGAUCAGGCACGAAAGCGUGGGGAGCAAACAGGAUUAGAUACCCUGGUAGUCCACGCCAUAAACGAUGACAACUAGACGUUGGGAGGGUAAGCCUCACAGUGUCGCAGCUAACGCGUUAAGUUGUCCGCCUGGGGAGUACGGCCGCAAGGUUGAAACUCAAAUGAAUUGACGGAAGGG